rnacentral:misc_RNA from 1 species
UUUCCGUUGGUGAACCAGCGGAAGGAUCAUUACAGAGUUCAUGCCCUUCGGGGUAGACCUCCCACCCUGUUUAUAUACUAUUGUUGCUUUGGCAGGUGCCCUCACCAUGGGGCGUCCGGGUUCCGCCCGCGUCUCGCCUGCCAAAAGCCCCACUAAUUCUGUGUUCUGUGUCGUCUGAGUACUAUAUAAUAAGUUAAAACUUUCAACAACGGAUCUCUUGGUUCUG